CCUACGGGAGGCAACAGUCGAGAAUCAUUCACAAUGGGGGAAACCCUGAUGGUGCGACGCCGCGUGGGGGAAUGAAGGUCUUCGGAUUGUAAACCCCUGUCAUGUGGGAGCAAAUUAAAAAGAUAGUACCACAAGAGGAAGAGACGGCUAACUCUGUGCCAGCAGCCGCGGUAAUACAGAGGUCUCAAGCGUUGUUCGGAAUCACUGGGCGUAAGGCGUGCGUAGGCUGUUUCGUAAGUCGUGUGUGAAAGGCGCGGGCUCAACCCGCGGACGGCACAUGAUACUGCGAGACUAGAGUAAUGGAGGGGGAACAGGAAGUCUCGGUGUAGCAGUGAAAUGCGUAGAUAUCGAGAGGAACACUCGUGGCGAAGGCGGGUUCCUGGACAUUAACUGACGCUGAGGCACGAAGGCCAGGGGAGCGAAAGGGAUUAGAUACCCCAGUAGUC
rnacentral:rRNA from 1 species